rnacentral:misc_RNA from 1 species
UUUAGCUAUUUUGUGUUGCUCAGACUUCACUGUUUCGAAAGGUUUUGGGUGGGCUUCCGGCAGGCGCUCGGCGGACGAGAUCACCGUAAGGAUGACCACGGCCGGCGGGGGCUCUCCGCACUCCACCUGGGGUGGGGUGACGGUUUCGCCCUCGUCCUGCCAAAGCAACAGAGGUAUGUAUUCACGGGUUGGGAGUUUCGGGCCACGAGGACCCUUGCUCUUUAAUGAUCCCUCCGCAGGUUCACCUACGGAGA